AUGAUCGAUGGAUAUUGCAAGAGUAAAAGAAUAGAUGAAGCCAUGAAUCUUCUCAAAGAAAUGUAUCUGAAAAAUUUGGUUCCCGAUAUUGCAACUUACACAAUACUUUUUGACGGGUUGUUCAAAUCUGAGAGAUUCUCCCUAUCAUUAGCAGAGGAAUUUGUUAUUGUAAUUUUUUCAGCUCUAGAUAAAUGUGUGAAGAAGGAAGCACAGGAGUUAGCAUCCUACUCAGGAGCUCUACAGACAUCAGUUAAUCAACACAUGACUUGGGAAAAGCAACAAUGGAAAUGA